GACGAACGCUGGCGGCGUGCUUAACACAUGCAAGUCGAACGGUAAGGCCCCAGCUUGCUGGGGUACACGAGUGGCGAACGGGUGAGUAACACGUGGGUGACCUGCCCCGCACUUCGGGAUAAGCCUGGGAAACUGGGUCUAAUACCGGAUAGGACCGCACCGUGAGGGUGUGGUGGAAAGUUUUUCGGUGUGGGAUGGGCCCGCGGCCUAUCAGCUUGUUGGUGGGGUAAUAGCCUACCAAGGCGGCGACGGGUAGCCGGCCUGAGAGGGUGGACGGCCACAUUGGGACUGAGACACGGCCCAGACUCCUACGGGAGGCAGCAGUGGGGAAUAUUGCACAAUGGGCGGAAGCCUGAUGCAGCGACGCCGCGUGGGGGAUGACGGCCUUCGGGUUGUAAACUCCUUUCACCAUCGACGAAGGUUUUCUGACGGUAGAUGGAGAAGAAGCACCGGCUAACUACGUG
rnacentral:rRNA from 1 species